rnacentral:rRNA from 1 species
UACGGAGGGUGCAAGCGUUGCUCGGAAUUAUUGGGCGUAAAGGGUAGGUAGGUGGUCUCAUUUGUCUGGGGUGAAAGCCUUGAGCUUAACUCGAGAAGUGCCCCAGAAACGGUGAGACUGGAGUCCUGGAGAGGGUCGUGGAAUUCCCGGUGUAGCGGUGAAAUGCGUAGAGAUCGGGAGGAACACCAGAGGCGAAAGCGGCGACCUGGACAGGCACUGACACUCAACUACGAAAGCGUGGGGAGCAAACAGG